GGUGGAAGAAGUUAUUACAUGGUUUUCUUGAGUUUUUCAUUUUCUUGUUCCUAAAUAUUUAAAAUAUAUAUAUUUAGAUUUAGUUGUUUUUAGAGUUAGAACUAGUUGCCUUUUGUUACUUGUGUGGAUGUAAAUUAAAUGGCUUAUAAGAUUAAUUUAGAUAGGAUGCUGAGGCUGAAUAGACUUGAUUUGUUCAUUUUCCUUAUUCUUUUAUUUCUAAAUAUUUUACAGAUAGAUUUAGAUUUAGAUUUAGUUACUUUCAGAGUUAGAACUAGUUGCAUUUUGCUAUUUGUUGUGUGGAGAUAUAUAUAUAUGAGAGAGAAUGGUUUAAGGAUGCUAAAGUUGAAUAUUCUUCCAAAAUCUUUCCAAAUACUCAAAAAAAGCUUAAUCCCUAAAAGCUGAGCUUAGAUAGGAUGUUACAGGAAGGGCUAUUCCUUUACUAUACAGGCGAAGUCCUUUAUCAGACAAAAAAAAAAAGAAUGCUGAAGAAGAGGAGACUGGGACCAGGAGAAAACCAACAAGGGACUAACAGAAUGGAGGAGAAGCAACAGGCCUGAGGCUCAGGAAUAACACACAGCAGUAGCAAGUAGGAUCUGCUCCAAGCAAGGCAGAAAAUGAACUGAGACGUCUCCAGGAAAAAAGCUGUUCAUGUGAUCUUUGCCUUCCAAUCAAUAGGGGAGAUCGUAAUCCACUUGGGAUACUUCCUCCUAUGCUCAACUGAGAAUGGGUAUACAAUCUAACUUGCUUAUUGCAUUACCAAGACCCACAUUACAAAAUUUUAAAAAUCUACUACAAAUAGAGCAGAAACAUGUUGCAAGGCAACAUAUAGAAAAUUGGAAGCCUUAAAGGAAACCAAUUCGAUUUAAUUAAUUGCGCCCAGACACAGAAACGUCUAUAUUCCUUAAAUCAGGAGGUUUUUGAGAAGGGACCACAAACCGGCUGCUUGCUAUGGGAAAGGGAUUUGAAAAGGGAUCUAUUUCCUUAGAUGUCCAGAACUGCCUAUGGCAACAUGUUCCACAACAAAAUGUAAGUACAAAUCUUAAGAAAAGCUUCUAUAAAUUUAUGUUCUGUUGGUAUCUGACGUCUAAGGCUUAAGCACAUCUAUAGAUGGGUAAGGAACAUGUUGAAGAGCUGGUAUGUUUUACAUAUUUUGGGCCUUCUAGGCAGCUUCAAAAGAUGACGUGAGAAAUCUAACAGGUUAUGACCAAACAGUUAGUUCCAUUAGUCAUAUUAUUUGUUCAUGAAAAAGGACUGGUUUUAACAAAAUGUUGAAAUGGUAGUCUAUUCAACAACAAUUGCUUUGUGUGUGUUUUAUUUAUGGAUAUUGUGUGAUCUAUUUUGAUUUGCUAUGAUAUCAAUGCUAUGUUGUUUAUGCCAAAAAAUAUAAUAACUAGAGAAUUGGACCCUGUUCAGAGGCACACAUCGAAAGGCCUGGAAUGAAAUGUGAAGCAUCUUCCAACCCAAAUGCUUAUACGAAGUUUGCAUUUCAUCAGCAUUAUUGAUCAUAGCACUCCAGGUUACCUUCUUUUUCUUCUUCUUCUUUUUCUCCUUUGCAACUUGGGCAGCCUUGUGUUGUCUCACCAGCUCUGUGAGGUUGGCCACAUAUUCAUCUGUUUGCUGAAGCAGGUAGGCUAAGCGCUUAUCUUUCUUUUGAUCAAUUAGCUUACGGUACCCUUCUUCAUCUUCAGCCUUUUAAAAAAAAUGCUUUAAAUUAGGAACAACAGUUAUUUAAAACAAAGUGUACCAAACUGCAAUCUACAGAGCUCAGCUGGGUAAAGUUUAUGCCUGAAACAAACCUUGGAGCAAACCUUACCAUCAACCUACGCAUUCUCUCCUUCUCAAUUCUCUCAUUCUCCUUCUUUUGCUCACGCUCAGUAUUGGCAUGGUAAGUGGCCACAGCCUUUGUCAGUUUUUGAAUCUUCCCUGUGACAGAUCGGUGGUAUUCUUUAAAAUCCUUGGCAUGCUGAAGAAUGCUAUUGAGGUACUCCUAAAAGGAAAUGUAAUACAAAAGGGAUUAAUGAAUUUAUACACCUGUGACAGAGCUUCUUAAGAUUGUUGGCAAUCUACAACUCUGAUAUCAGCAAUCACAAAAUGCCCAUUAUAAGUGUAUUCAAUUGCAUCUUGAGCCCAGUGAUAUUCUUAGCUGUUGCAAAUGUUCUGCAGGAUGUUACUGCUUUCAAUAAUUUAGGUUUUCUUCCUCCAGCCAAAAUCUCAAUUUCUGCUUGUCAUUUCCUUUAGUCUUAUCUCCACAAAGCCAGAAGCAGCCAAACAGAAUGCUCAGGUUGAGGCAACCUCCAGGGAAGCCCAAUGUACACCAAGCUGCCCAUAAACCCCUGAUGGGAACACCGAAAUUGUUUGUGAGUACAGUACUUGGAUGAGCACAAGUACCCCCAAGCGCCCUUCAGGAAGAGAGUUGCCAAACACAACAGAGGAAGGAUAGGUGAAGAGGACAAUCCAGGGUCUCUGAAACACCUUGAUUCAAAGUGAGGCCUAGUCCAGGAAAGGCUUUUUUGGGGGGGGGGGAGAAGGUUAAUAAAUAAUUAUAAUAAUAUUAUAAAGAAAUAUAAGAAUAAAUUU